UUUUUGCAUAAAUUUAAAUCUCUGAUUUCCUUAACUCUUCUGCCGUUGGUGACAUGGGUAAAUUGAAUACAUGAACUGUAGCAGAAUAUCAGUUUGGAUCAAAGCAGAGAUGUGUGUUUAAGGCAAGUUGUUGGUUGCAGCUAUGAAGAAUAACAGAAAAUAAAAAAUAGAAAGCAAAAGAAGGUCCAACGGAAUUAACUUGAAGAACAAAGUGAAAAGAAGAAAGGAAGAGAUCAUGUGUUGAUGGUCGGGCAAUAGCUCUCUAGAUUCCCGGUCAAGGAAGGUGCACACAUCAGUACUCUUGUCGUCGGAUUUCUGUUUAGGCAUUAAACUCAAGCCACCAAGGUAUGGCGCCAUUAAACCUCCUGAUGUAAUAGCCGGUGUUGACAUGGCGGAGCUUAAGAAUGCUAUUGCUGUUGGAAGAGCUGCGAUGUUUGUAGGACUGAUUCUCCUUGGGUUUGACAGCCAUGUAAGAGACUUAUCUGUUGUUCCCACCAGAAGGUUCGCCAGCACUUGCUAUGCAAAUGCUAGAUAUGGAAAAUCCAAUUCCAGUGGUAGCUGGCACCACCUCAGACCUCGUCUCAAGUCCGAAACUGUAAUCUUCAUCAAACUAGAGGAAUUUGGCAAAUUCCAGUUUCUCGCGUACAGGUGCAAUUAUCCAUAUCAUCAGAUACAUCAUACAUGAAAACGAUACUUAAUUUUGAAAUUUAGUGAUUAAAAUCAGUGUAAAUUAUAUCAAAUUAUAUCAUUUUAAGGGGGUAUUUGAGGCAAAAAUAUUUAGUUUAUUUACAUUUUCCUGGGCAGAUUUUCCAGAAUGGUUAAAUGAAAAAUAUAUUUUUUCAA